rnacentral:snoRNA from 1 species
CAGACACUUAUUUUUAUCCAGUUUCUUCUCAAGGUGAAGAUAACUCUUUGUAAAUGUCAUAAAGUCAUGUAGAAUGCAGUAACUUUCUGUUCACGCUUUACAAAUAAAAAGAAUGGCUCCUUCUAUUAAUGACAUUU